rnacentral:rRNA from 1 species
GGGCCCGCACAAGCGGUGGAGUAUGUGGUUUAAUUCGAUGCAACGCGAAGAACCUUACCAGGGUUUGACAUCCUGCGAAUCUCUUGGAAACAGGAGAGUGCCUUCGGGAACGCAGUGACAGGUGGUGCAUGGCUGUCGUCAGCUCGUGUCGUGAGAUGUUGGGUUAAGUCCCGCAACGAGCGCAACCCACGUCUUUAGUUGCCAGCAUUUAGUUGGGCACUCUAGAGAGACUGCCGGUGAUAAACCGGAGAAGGUGUGGAUGACGUCAAGUCAUCAUGCCCCUUACAUCUGGGCUACACACGUACUACAAUGCUACGGACAAAGGGCAGCAAGUUCGCGAGGACAGCAAGUCCAAUCCAAUAACGUGGCUCAG